CCCUUAGAUGUUCUGGGCCGCACGCGCGCUACACUGAUGAACGCAACGAGACCACUUGUACCGAAAGGCAUGGGUAAACUUGUGAAAGUUCAUCGUGAUGGGGAUAGAUUAUUGCAAUUAUUAAUCUUCAACGAGGAAUUCCUAGUAAGCGCGAGUCAUCAGCUCGCGUUGAUUACGUCCCUGCCCUUUGUACACACCGCCCGUCGCUCCUACCGAUUGAAUGGUCCGGUGAAAUCUUCGGAUUGCUGGAUAGGACUUCAUUGACCUAUCUGCGAGAAGUUGCUUGAACCUUAUCAUUUAGAGGAAGGAGAAGUCGUAACA
rnacentral:rRNA from 1 species